UACACACACAUGCUCAGGACCUAUAUGUGCACAAAUGGAGAGAUGUCAGAGUGAGGGGCUGCGGCUGCCCAUGGACAGGUGCCCCGAGCAGUUGAGGGUUCGGUGCCUCGCUCAAGGGCACCUCGACAGUGCCCAGGAGGUGAACUGGCACCUCUCCAGCUACCAGCCAAGUCCUUACAGAG